GUGCUCCGAACAGGUGUAUUUCACAGGUGUAAAGAAAAGUAAAUGCCAGAGGAGAAGUACGAGUCCGUUUAGUCCCGUACAAUGGCUCCAAAGUGUAUUGGGGGCUGCGCCGCGUUAUUUGUCCUCGGGAUUACAUUUGAUAUAAUCGGGUUUGCUUUGGUUUUGCUCGGUAUUUUUGCCAAUCUGCGAUUGGACGGCAUAUUUUACGGAGACUUCUUAAUCUAUACUGGCUCUUUAAUAGUUUUUCUCAGUCUCUUCUGGUGGAUCAUGUGGUACACUGGGAAUAUUAGAGUUUCCUCUGAGGAUGUAGAGAAGAGGACUUUUGAUAACUUUGCGCACUGGGCACGGAAGCUCUCGGAGCGACUGUCCAAAAAGGGGAUGCACAGUGAGAAGUGCAUGGAUAACGUUAAGAAGUCGAUGAACGGGGAUGUGACACAUCACGCUCCGAGGCGGAUAACGUGGGAAAACUCGGGACCGGCGGGAUGCGUGAACGAAGCUUACGACCGAGGCUCCGAUGCGCCACCGAACGAGAAGACCGUGGAGCUGGAGAUCCUGAAGAACUCCGGGAUGUUCCUGCAGAGCAGCGGCAAAGCGGAGAGAUUUCUCUGAACAGCGACCGGUGCAUUUUACUUCUGUUCGUCAGAGUCUGAGGAAAAGCAGCAGUAAGACCGGAAUGUUUUAACCAAACCUUCAUAUCUGGACUGACUGAGAAAUGAAGUCAUUAUUCAGGGAUUUUUAAUGAGCACUUUACACAUGAUUAAUAAAUGUAUACUUUUUUCUUGUACUGAAAGUUUAAUUUCAGAUUUUUUUGUUUGUUUCUCAUCUUUAUCAGAUAAAGAGUUUUCAUAAAAUGAUUUGGCCAGUUACUUGUUUUUGUUAUUUUACACGAUAUGGAAGCUUCUCAUUAUUUUUAAUAAAUCUUAUUUGAUUUGAUUCUUCUGAAAUGUCUGCAUUGUUUUAUAUAACCCCUUUAUUCCAGCUUUAUAAUUAUGUAAAAUCACUUGUUUGUUAUUAGUCAUACAGCCCUGGCAGGCAUAUGCAGUUGUGUAUGAACCACUAUUUGAACUCUAUGUUAAAACAAGCAUUACAAAUACUCCUCUGCAAACUUUUAUUGGGAUCAAAGUAUUUUAGGCUCAGACCCUGAGCGUUUCAGAAAACCUGUUCACCUGGAAGCGUCUCACCCUUUUUCCAUCUUGCAGCUCUCCAAUGACAGGAAUGGACUGACGACCUUUUCGGUGUGUUUACUAGAAACACAGUUAGCUGUGAAUUAUACAUGUACUCUUAUCAAACACUGCAACACCAUCGCUUUUCACCUAAGGUUAUGAUUACAAACCCAGAGAAACCCGCCAGACAAAUACAAGAGACACACCCUGCUAUUGUGUAUCUGGAUAUUUGAGCCAUUAAAUACUCAAGUCUUUCACAAUCACAGUAAACGGAGAAUAAGGGAGAGGAAGGUAACCACUGGAAAAGUCCUGAAAAUCAUAAGCGGAAGGACUUGUUUCGCGACAUAGCAGACGUGGUGUUUGUUUUGAUAUGCAAUAAAAACUCGAGCAGUAGAGUUCAGUAAUCUUGCUGAAAUAUCUCUCAUGUAAACUCAUGGCAGUACUACCUCACAUUAACCACUGUUCCCAAGUUCCUGCCACCAUGGAAAUGCAAAUUACGACUCCUAUUAUUAAUUCAUUAGCACUGUCAAGAAAUCAGACAACUUGUGCGACAAGCAGAACAAGACGGCCCAGAUGGACAGCGGGUCGUGUUUCCAUCAACACCUGAGGUGUGAGAACGAUAUCAAAUUAUCCCAACACCUUCAAAUCACACAACCCUGAAGAAAACACUGACUGUCACUGUGACCGUCCUGCUGCAGAACAUGGAAAAGAUGCUCUUUAAUUAUCCUUUAACAAGUUAAUGUUACCUUUGAAGAAAUACUGGCUACUGUGUUAAUACUAGAAAAAAAUCACAUGUGAUAAUUGAUUAGAACCUCCUG